GGUGGCUGUAUGAUCUUAAGUAAGCCCAUUUUGCUUCAAUUUUCUUAUCUAGAAAAUGGGGAUAAUAACACCCAUGUUAUAGAGUUAUUCUGAUGAUUUCUAAGAGUCUCAGAGACCUAGGAUCCACAAAAUCAAAACAACAAAACCAAGCCUUUGUGCACAUCUGUGGUUGUGACCAGUUGGAGAGACAUUAGGAGAUGAGAUACUAUGUUCACUCCUCACAGCUGUACCAGGGACCUGAGAUAUUCCGUCACUAUUCUAUGAGAUUUUGGAGAUCCCACCAGUGGUUUUCCGGUGCCAGGGUAUGAGAAGAUAGUCUCCAUGUCCAAACUCACAAUUUCAGAACAAAUUUCAUCAAGAUAAAGGCCUGGGCUGGUGAAUGGUUCCUGCUUUCACUAUUCCAGAUGUCCAGCUCUGUACCUUGCUGCUCUCCUUAAAGCCUGCCUCCCUCUAGAUGGUCUGGCUUGAUGAUAUCCAACCUGACGUGGCCUGAAGAGACAGACAGUGGCUCUUGCUAGCUAAUUAUUGUCAGAUGGAUCGGCAGCCGACCAACGCUUCUGAAACUAUUGUUUUUGGCAAAUGUUCCUCAACAUUUUCCUGGUAUAUAAAUAAUGAUCCCUUGCAGAAAGUC
ensembl:lncRNA novel transcript